rnacentral:rRNA from 1 species
GUGGGGAAUCUUGGACAAUGGGCGAAAGCCUGAUCCAGCGACGCCGCGUGGGUGAUGAAGGCCUUCGGGUUGUAAAGCCCUUUCGACGGGGACGAUGAUGACGGUACCCGGCGAAGAAGCACCGGCUAACUCCGUGCCAGCAGCCGCGGUAAGACGGAGGGUGCUAGCGUUGUUCGGAAUCACUGGGCGUAAAGGGCGCGUAGGCGGCCAGGCAAGUCGGCUUGUGAAAGCCCGGGGCUCAACCCCGGAGGUGCGGCCGGGACUGCUUGGCUGGAGGCCGGAAGAGGAGGGUGGAAUACCCAGUGUAGAGGUGAAAUUCGUAGAUAUUGGGUGGAACACCGGUGGCGAAAGCGGCUCUCUGGUCCGGUUCUGACGCUGAGGCGCGAAAGCGUGGGGAGCAAACAGGAUUAGAAACCCUAGUAGUCC